rnacentral:lncRNA from 1 species
UGUCGGUUUAACAAAAAUUUUAAUUUUAAUUUUAAUUUAUUUAUUUAAUUUUGAUUUUGUAAAAAAAAAAAAUGUAGUUCGUAAUAUAAGUAAAGAUGAACGCGGCACAAAAUAUUGCCUUCUUAUGUAAUAGUACAUAAACAAAUUUUUUUCCCAUUUUUUUUACACAUCUCGGCUAAAGUUAAUUACAUUUCCUGAUUAAUGCAAUUGAUGUGAUACAUAUUCUAUAUGAUAUUAUCUGUUACCAAAAUAAUAUGUGUGAUACUUAUUAGAAAAGACAUAAUAUUUUUGUUUUUCAUUUUUUUUUUUAGAGAGAACGGUAGCAAAUAACCUUGCUUCGUUCAAUUUUUUUUUUGAACUUUAGAAAUAAAAACAAUUAGAAAUGUAAAGCAAUAAAGUUUUGACCUUAAAAUCUUUGAGUAUCCAAUAAUAAAAAAACAUCCUUAGCCAAGAAUGCUAGGAUUUAGUGUUUAGGUUUUAGGAUUUUAGGGUUAGGGUUUUGAAUUUGUAGGGUUUAGGGUUUGGGCCUGGAAGUGGUCGACGAAACGGAGCUAGACUUGAUCUCGCUCAUUAAUGAAAAGUGUACUUGGUAAAAUGUGCGGGCCCAUUUAGUGAACACCGGUUCUCCUUCCAUCUCCUAUAACCUAACACAACCUCUCGGCCGAUGACCCAUUUUAGCGCAUAGCCCUUUUUUUCUUUGUGA